rnacentral:rRNA from 1 species
GACGAACGCUGGCGGCGUGCUUAACACAUGCCAGUCGAACGGAAAGGCCCUGCUUUUGUUGGUUGCUCGAGUGGCGAACGGGUGAGUAACACGUGAGUAACCUGCCCUUGACUUUGGGAUAACUUCAGGAAACUGGGGCUAAUACCGGAUAGGAGCUCCUGCUGCAUGUUGGGGGUUGGAAAGUUUCGGCGGUUGGGGAUGGACUCGCGGCUUAUCAGCUUGUUUGUGGGGUAGUGGCUUACCAAGGCUUUGACGGGUAGCCGGCCUGAGAGGGUGACCGGCGACAUUGGGACUGAGAUACGGACCAGAAGCCUACGGGAGGCAGCAGUGGGGAAUAUUGCACAAUGGGCGGAAGCGUGAUGCAGCAACGCCGCGUGCGGGAUGACGGCCUUCGGGUUGUAAACCGCUUUCGAAUGUGACGAAGCGUGAGUGACGGUAAUGGGUAAAGAAGCAACGGCUAACUACGUG